GAAAAGUUUUAUUCUUGCUUACUUAUUCAUUAUUUUCUUUGUAUUAUAUGUGAGUUUUGUUGUACUAAAUGUUCUUUUUGCAGUAAUUUGAUUUAAUUAUUAAGUUAAUUUAGAAUUAGCAAUUGAUUAAGUAUUGGCAUAUUUCGUGCCAGCAGCCGCGGUUAUACGAUUAAUGCAUAUGAAUAUUAUUGGUUAAGACAGUUAUUUAUAUUUUUAGAAUAUAAUUAUUAAUUUUUUAGGUGAAAUUUAAAAUUAUUUUUUAUUCUUAUUAUGAAUCUGUGAAACUUAGAUUAUAAACUAGGAUUAGAUACCCUAUUAUUUUAAGUGUAAAUUAUUUUUACCUGGGUAGUAUUAGUUAAGAUCUUUAAACCCAAAGAAUUUGGCGGUACCUUAUUCCAUUCAGAGGAACCUACCCUGUAAUUGAUAGUACACGAUUAACUUUACUUAAUUUAUUUGUUUGUAUAUCUCCGUUAUCAGAAGAUCUUUUUAGAGCUAUAAUUUUCUAGAAUUAUAAUUAUAAUUUAUUUCAGGUCAAGGUGCAGCUUAUAAUUAAGAAGAGGUGGGUUACAAUAGAUUUUUGUUUAUAAUGAAUUUAAUUUUUAAAAUUUUUAAUGAAGGUGGAUUUGAUAGUAAUUUAAUUUAUUUAAUUUAAUUGAUAUUGGCUCUAAGGUGUGUACACAUCGCCCGUCGCUCUCAUUAUUAAGUUUUUAUUAUAAAGUACAUUCUUAUUUUAGAUGAGAUAAGUCGUAACAUAGUAGAUGUACUGGAAAGUGUAUCUAGUAAGUUUAU
rnacentral:ncRNA from 1 species